rnacentral:rRNA from 1 species
CCCGGUGAUCUAGCCAUGGGCAGGUUGAAGGUUGGGUAACACUAACUGGAGGACCGAACCGACUAAUGUUGAAAAAUUAGCGGAUGACUUGUGGCUGGGGGUGAAAGGCCAAUCAAACCGGGAGAUAGCUGGUUCUCCCCGAAAGCUAUUUAGGUAGCGCCUCGUGAAUUCAUCUCCGGGGGUAGAGCACUGUUUCGGCAAGGGGGUCAUCCCGACUUACCAACCCGAUGCAAACUGCGAAUACCGGAGAAUGUUAUCACGGGAGACACACGGCGGGUGCUAACGUCCGUCGUGAAGAGGGAAACAACCCAGACCGCCAGCUAAGGUCCCAAAGUCAUGGUUAAGUGGGAAACGAUGUGGGAAGGCCCAGACAGCCAGGAUGUUGGCUUAGAAGCAGCCAUCAUUUAAAGAAAGCGUAAUAGCUCACUGGUCGAGUCGGCCUGCGCGGAAGAUGUAACGGGGCUAAACCAUGCACCGAAGCUGCGGCAGCGACACUAUGUGUUGUUGGGUAGGGGAGCGUUCUGUAAGCCUGCGAAGGUGUACUGUGAGGUAUGCUGGAGGUAUCAGAAGUGCGAAUGCUGACAUAAGUAACGAUAAAGCGGGUGAAAAGCCCGCUCGCCGGAAGACCAAGGGUUCCUGUCCAACGUUAAUCGGGGCAGGGUGAGUCGACCCCUAAGGCGAGGCCGAAAGGCGUAGUCGAUGGGAAACAGGUUAAUAUUCCUGUACUUGGUGUUACUGCGAAGGGGGGACGGAGAAGGCUAUGUUGGCCGGGCGACGGUUGUCCCGGUUUAAGCGUGUAGGCUGGUUUUCCAGGCAAAUCCGGAAAAUCAAGGCUGAGGCGUGAUGACGAGGCACUACGGUGCUGAAGCAACAAAUGCCCUGCUUCCAGGAAAAGCCUCUAAGCAUCAGGUAACAUCAAAUCGUACCCCAAACCGACACAGGUGGUCAGGUAGAGAAUACCAAGGCGCUUGAGAGAACUCGGGUGAAGGAACUAGGCAAAAUGGUGCCGUAACUUCGGGAGAAGGCACGCUGAUACGUAGGUGAAGCGACUUGCUCGUGGAGCUGAAAUCAGUCGAAGAUACCAGCUGGCUGCAACUGUUUAUUAAAAACACAGCACUGUGCAAACACGAAAGUGGACGUAUACGGUGUGACGCCUGCCCGGUGCCGGAAGGUUAAUUGAUGGGGUUAGCGGUAACGCGAAGCUCUUGAUCGAAGCCCCGGUAAACGGCGGCCGUAACUAUAACGGUCCUAAGGUAGCGAAAUUCCUUGUCGGGUAAGUUCCGACCUGCACGAAUGGCGUAAUGAUGGCCAGGCUGUCUCCACCCGAGACUCAGUGAAAUUGAACUCGC